rnacentral:rRNA from 1 species
AGAGUUCGAUUAUGGCUCAGGAUGAACGCUGGCGGCGUGCUUAACACAUGCAAGUCGAACGAAGCACUUUAAGAAGAAGUUUUCGGACGGAUUCUUUAAGCGACUGAGUGGCGGACGGGUGAGUAACGCGUGGGCAACCUGCCCUGUACAGGGGGAUAACAGUCAGAAAUGACUGCUAAUACCGCAUAAGACCACAGUGCUGCAUGGCACAGUGGUAAAAACUCCGGUGGUACAGGAUGGGCCCGCGUCUGAUUAGCUGGUUGGUGAGGUAACGGCUCUACCAAGGCAACGAUCAGUAGCCGGCUUGAGAGAGUGGACGGCCACAUUGGGACUGAGACACGGCCCAA